rnacentral:rRNA from 1 species
CAGUCGCCGCGGUAAUACGAAGGGGGCUAGCGUUGCUCGGAAUGACUGGGCGUAAAGGGCGCGUAGGCGGCGGCCAAAGUCGGGCGUGAAAUUCCCGGGCUCAACCUGGGGGCUGCGUUUGAUACUUGGUUGCUUGAGUGGGGAAGAGGGUCGUGGAAUUCCCAGUGUAGAGGUGAAAUUCGUAGAUAUUGGGAAGAACACCGGUGGCGAAGGCGGCGACCUGGUCCUUUACUGACGCUGAGGCGCGAAAGCGUGGGGAGCAAACAGGAUUAGAUACCCGCGUAGUCCCUGUCUCUUAUAC